CGGUCCUGAUGGCGACCGGCGCACGGGUGAGUAACGCGUACACAACCUACCUUCAAGAGGGGGAUAGCCUCGGGAAACUGAGAUUAAUACCCCAUGUGAUUAACUUAUUAAUGAUUGGUUAAUUAAAGAUCCGUCGCUUGAAGAUGGGUGUGCGUCCCAUUAGGUAGUUGGUGAGGUAACGGCUCACCAAGCCGACGAUGGGUAGGGGGCGUGAGAGCGUGACCCCCCACACGGGUACUGAGACACGGACCCG
rnacentral:rRNA from 1 species